AUUGAACGCUGGCGGCAUGCCUUACACAUGCAAGUCGAACGGUAACGGGUCCUUCGGGAUGCCGACGAGUGGCGAACGGGUGAGUAAUAUAUCGGAACGUGCCCAGUAGUGGGGGAUAACUGCUCGAAAGAGCAGCUAAUACCGCAUACGACCUGAGGGUGAAAGGGGGGGAGUCGCAAGACCUCUCGCUAUUGGAGCGGCCGAUAUCAGAUUAGCUAGUUGGUGGGGUAAAGGCCUACCAAGGCAACGAUCUGUAGUUGGUCUGAGAGGACGACCAGCCACACUGGGACUGAGACACGGCCCAGACUCCUACGGGAGGCAGCAGUGGGGAAUUUUGGACAAUGGGCGCAAGCCUGAUCCAGCAAUGCCGCGUGCAGGAAGAAGGCC
rnacentral:rRNA from 1 species